rnacentral:misc_RNA from 1 species
GUAACUCGCUUGAGGUUGUUGGGUGAUCAGUUGCAUUCGACCCGUAUAGCUUUUGUUGAGUUUGCUCUGGCCGAGACUGCUCUUCAAGCUCUUAAUUGUAGUGGCAUGAUCUUGGGUGCUCAACCAAUCAGGGUAAGUCCGUCUAAGACGCCUGUUAGGCCACGAGUUACUCGCCCGGGUAGCAUUAAGCCAUCUUGAAAAGCAAACUCUCCAAUAUGAGUGGAUGAAAUUUCAGACAAUGUAUGAGUUGUCCCAAGUGUUGGUGAAACUUUCAUAACAGUAGUUGGUUGGACAAUGAAAUUCAGACAACUUGUGAAUUGUUGAAGUGUUG